ACAGCAGUAGCCGCGGUAAUACGUAGGGUGCAAGCGUUAAUCGGAAUUACUGGGCGUAAAGCGUGCGCAGGCGGUUAUAUAAGACAGAUGUGAAAUCCCCGGGCUCAACCUGGGAACUGCAUUUGUGACUGUAUAGCUAGAGUACGGCAGAGGGGGAUGGAAUUCCGCGUGUAGCAGUGAAAUGCGUAGAUAUGCGGAGGAACACCGAUGGCGAAGGCAAUCCCCUGGGCCUGUACUGACGCUCAUGCACGAAAGCGUGGGGAGCAAACAGGAUUAGAGACCCCAGUAGUCCCUGUCUCUUAUAC
rnacentral:rRNA from 1 species